AACGAGAUGUUUUCGCGCUGUGCGAAGAAUACUUAUAACCCGUUGCUGGGCGCCUGACUUUGAGAUGUCGUUUAGACUUUUCUGAAAGGUUGGGAAUCAGCUGAGGCUACAUUC
rfam:Botryotinia fuckeliana BcDW1 unplaced genomic scaffold Scaffold_397, whole genome shotgun sequence.